UACGGAGGGUGCGAGCGUUGUCCGGAAUCAUUGGGCGUAAAGGGCGCGUAGGUGGCCCGGUCAGUCUUUGGUGAAAGCGCGGGGCUCAACCCUGCGUCGGCCAGGGAUACUGCCGCGGCUCGAGCACUGUAGAGGCAGGCGGAAUUCCGGGUGUAGCGGUGGAAUGCGUAGAGAUCCGGAGGAACACCAGUGGCGAAGGCGACACGCUGGGCCGUACCUGACACUGAUGCGCGACAGCAUGGGGAGCAAACAGG
rnacentral:rRNA from 1 species